rnacentral:rRNA from 1 species
UACGGAGGGGGCUAGCGUUGUUCGGAAUCACUGGGCUUAAAGGGUGCGUAGGCGGCUAUCUAAGCAGGGUGUGAAAGCCCCCGGCUCAACCGGGGAAUUGCGUUCUGAACUGGAUGGCUGGAGUGAGAUAGGGGUGUGUGGAACUUCCAGUGGAGCGGUGAAAUGUGUUGAUAUUGGAAGGAACGCCGGUGGCGAAAGCGACACACUGGGUCUCAACUGACGCUGAGGCACGAAAGCCAGGGGAGCGAACGGG